rnacentral:rRNA from 2 species
GCGAACUGGUCAGUAACACGUGGGAAACCUGCCCAGAAGCGGGGGAUAACACCUGGAAACAGAUGCUAAUACCGCAUAACAACUUGGACCGCAUGGUCCGAGUUUGAAAGAUGGCUUCGGCUAUCACUUUUGGAUGGUCCCGCGGCGUAUUAGCUAGAUGGUGGGGUAACGGCUCACCAUGGCAAUGAUACGUAGCCGACCUGAGAGGGUAAUCGGCCACAUUGGGACUGAGACACGGCCCAAACUCCUACGGGAGGCAGCAGUAGGGAAUCUUCCACAAUGGACGAAAGUCUGAUGGAGCAACGCCGCGUGAGUGAAGAAGGGUUUCGGCUCGUAAAACUCUGUUGUUAAAGAAGAACAUAUCUGAGAGUAACUGUUCAGGUAUUGACGGUAUUUAACCAGAAAGCCACGGCUAACUACGUGCCAGCAGCCGCGGUAAUACGUAGGUGGCAAGCGUUGUCCGGAUUUAUUGGGCGUAAAGCGAGCGCAGGCGGUUUUUUAAGUCUGAUGUGAAAGCCUUCGGCUCAACCGAAGAAGUGCAUCGGAAACUGGGAAACUUGAGUGCAGAAGAGGACAGUGGAACUCCAUGUGUAGCGGUGAAAUGCGUAGAUAUAUGGAAGAACACCAGUGGCGAAGGCGGCUGUCUGGUCUGUAACUGACGCUGAGGCUCGAAAGUAUGGGUAGCAAACAGGAUUAGAUACCCUGGUAGUCCAUACCGUAAACGAUGAAUGCUAAGUGUUGGAGGGUUUCCGCCCUUCAGUGCUGCAGCUAACGCAUUAAGCAUUCCGCCUGGGGAGUACGGCCGCAAGGCUGAAACUCAAAGGAAUUGACGGGGGCCCGCACAAGCGGUGGAGCAUGUGGUUUAAUUCGAAGCUACGCGAAGAACCUUACCAGGUCUUGACAUACUAUGCAAAUCUAAGAGAUUAGACGUUCCCUUCGGGGACAUGGAUACAGGUGGUGCAUGGUUGUCGUCAGCUCGUGUCGUGAGAUGUUGGGUUAAGUCCCGCAACGAGCGCAACCCUUAUUAUCAGUUGCCAGCAUUAAGUUGGGCACUCUGGUGAGACUGCCGGUGACAAACCGGAGGAAGGUGGGGAUGACGUCAAAUCAUCAUGCCCCUUAUGACCUGGGCUACACACGUGCUACAAUGGAUGGUACAACGAGUUGCGAACUCGCGAGAGUAAGCUAAUCUCUUAAAGCCAUUCUCAGUUCGGAUUGUAGGCUGCAACUCGCCUACAUGAAGUCGGAAUCGCUAGUAAUCGCGGAUCAGCAUGCCGCGGUGAAUACGUUCCCGGGCCUUGUACACACCGCCCGUCACACCAUGAGAGUUUGUAACACC